UACGGGGGGAGCAAGCGUUGUUCGGAUUUACUGGGCGUAAAGGGCGCGUAGGCGGUCGUGACAAGUCACUUGUGAAAUCUCCGGGCUUAACUCGGAACGGUCAAGUGAUACUGUCGGACUAGAGUACAGAAGGGGCAACUGGAAUUCUCGGUGUAGCGGUGAAAUGCGUAGAUAUCAGGAGGAACACCAAUGGCGAAGGCAGCUCGCUGGGACGGUUACUGACGCUGAGACGCGAAAGCGUGGGGAGCAAACAGG
rnacentral:rRNA from 1 species